CUGGGCUCGGCAGGGACAGUGGCUGUGCAGGGAGGGGCUAGUGUAGGUUUGGGAUUUGUUCUUUAACUGUUUGGAAAUUGUUCAAGCUUAUAUGAAGUGGGCUUCUGGGAUUUUUUCGGUCCUGUGGCUGAGGAUAUGUUCCAUUGGCAAGCAACAAUUAUGGGGCCUGCUGAUAGUCCAUAUGCAGGGGGCGUAUUCCUUGUUUCAAUUCAUUUUCCUCCGGAUUAUCCCUUUAAGCCUCCAAAGGUAAAGAAGAAGGGUGAUAAAGAUGAGAGGAAGCUCAAGAGAAGGAUGACUAAUCCAAUGGAUUUUGUUUUUCUUUUUAUUAAUGGGCUUUGAAGUUUUUGGAUUUUAAUAUUUUUUUGGUUCCCAAUAAAAUACAUUAUCUGUGAUUGAACUUUCAGCUUGUUGGUAAGCUUUUCUCAGCUUGUUUCUAGCUUUUCUCAGCUGGUCUCAUAUGGACACUGAAAUGGAAAUAUUUUUUCUAAAUCAAAAUAAAAAUUGUAGCUGCA